rnacentral:rRNA from 1 species
UACGUAGGGGGCAAGCGUUGUCCGGAAUUAUUGGGCGUAAAGCGCGCGCAGGCGGUCGUUUAAGUCUGGUGUUUAAGCCCGGGGCUCAACCCCGGUUCGCAUCAGAAACUGGAUGACUUGAGUGUAGGAGAGGAAAGUGGAAUUCCACGUGUAGCGGUGAAAUGCGUAGAGAUGUGGAGGAACACCGAUAGCGAAGGCAGCUCGCUGGGACGGUACUGACGCUGAGGUGCGAAAGCGUGGGGAGCGAACAGG